rnacentral:lncRNA from 1 species
GCAGGCGCGCGCUUGGGAACCCCAGAAACCGCGAGCCGUUUCCUUUCUCUUCGGAAAUGGCAGUUUUGUUGUCCUGGAUGAAGGCGAGCGCCGCUGCCUCCCUGAAUGCUGAGCACGCUGGCUUCGCGGUGCCCGGAAGGAAGCCUUUGAAGAGUAGUUUUGCGGGCAGGGAGGGGACAGGGGUGCGUGCGACUCAGAGUGAGAGGGAGGAGUUGCAGGGCAAAGGCGGGAGGAGGGGGAGAUUCUGGAGAGGAACUUGAGGGGAUGGGAUUCACUCUAAGGAGUCCUGGGCGGUCGGAGCUUUCCCCUCGCGUGACCCAGCCUAAGGGGGAAGUGGAGAAAAACAGCUCGACAGAUUUGUUGCUUAAAUUCAAACGUAAAACACCUACGAUCUUCUUAUCCCAGUUGUACUUCAUCUUCUCCACGGGUUCCCUGUAUCUCUGAUUAAGACACGAGAUUAGUGGAGUGGGCGGGUGGGGGCGCGCGCAGGAGUUGGUAGCAACUCUCAGUGAAAUACAGUAGAGCCAUGGAAAGCGGGGGCUGCAUUAAUCCAACCAGCCUUUUCUCUCCUUGUGCCCUGCUGUCCCAGUUCAGAUGAAAUGGCCAGUUUUGAACAGUUUUUGGCUGAGUUCCUUUUAAACCCUUGGAGCCAAUGCUAAUCACUUGUCUUGACUUGAAGUGCUUGUAAAGUCUGCAUUUUCAUCGUGCUCAGAACUCUGAAGUGACAUAGCUACCUGUGGCUAAUGCAUGAGAAUAACAAAGGCUGAGUCCUGGCUUGGGUGGGAACCCUCAGCUGAAGUAGAAGACUGAAGGAUCCAAGGAACCUAAAAUCACAGUGAAUCCCCACCUGCAAAGGUCUUAAUGUUGCAGAUCUUUGGCACCUGAGCCAGAUUUCAUCACAUAAAGGCCACAUUGCAGUUAACUUUUGAAAACUGUGUUAUGAGAGGUAGAACUUUCUCAUGUCAGGCAAAUCCAUCAUUACAGAGGUCUGACUGGUCCUAGAGAUUAACUGAGACAAUCUGUCCUAAAUUUACAGAGACUUCCAUCUGUGGAUUCAGUCAGCCAACCUGCAAAUGUUUCCCCUGCAGCUUAUCAUGGACAAAAAGCAAGCAUUGCACAUUUCGAUUUUGGUUAUUCUAUUUAACUGGGGAAUCUGGUUUAGGAAUAAACCGUUCUGGUGACUACCCCAUUAUCCAAGCAUUUCCCAAUCUAGGCCCAACCUGUCUUUCCAGCCUUGGUUCUGUUGCCCAUGGAGAAGGGUGCUUUCUGGUUCCUGGCAUUUGCAUACGUUGUUCUUUCCUUCUGGAAUUCUCUUCACCAACCCACAGCUAAUACUUCCUUUAAGGCUCAGUGUACUUAUAGCCUGGGAAUCUGGGGUGGAAUAAGAGGUCUGGAUGUUUAUAUCCCCACCACAUUCAUGUGUUGAAACCUAAUCCUCAAGGUGAUGAUAAUAAGAUGUGGGACUUGGGUGGGCAUAGUGGCUCAUGCCUGUAAUCCCAGCACUUUGGGAGGCUGAGAAGGGUAGAUCGUUUGAGGUCAGGAGUUGAAGACCAGCCUGACCAACAUGGUGAAACCCCGCCUCUACUAAAAAUACAAUUAUCUGGGCGUGGUGGGACGUGCCUAUAAUCCCAGCUACUCGGGAGGCUCCCGAGUAGCUGGGAGGCUGAGGCACAGGAAUCGCUUGAACCUGGGAGGUGGAGGUUACAGUGAGCCGAGAUCACGCCACUGCACUCCAGCCUGGGAGACAGAGUGAGACUUGUCUCAAGAGAAAAAAAAAAAGAUGUGAGGCUUUCCGGAGGUGAUUUGGUUGCUAAUGAAUGGGAUUAGUGCCCUUGUAAAGGAGGCCUGAGGGAACUUGUUUCACCCUUCUGUACUGUGAGGGCACAGCAGGAAGACGCCAUCUGUGAGGCAGAGGGCCCUCACCAGACACCAAAUCUGUUGAGGCCUUGCUCUGUCAACUUCCCAGCCUCCAGAACUGGGACAAAUAGAUUUCUAUUGUUUAUAAAUUUGUUGAUAAAGUAUCCCAUUUAAGGUAUUUGUGUUAUAGCAGCAGAAACGGACUAAGACAGUGUGGAGAACAAGAUAUUUAUUUACUUGGACAGUUUUUCCCGGGUACUGACCUGUUGGAGACACCUUCAGAUCUCUGCUAUCUGAUUGCCACACCACAGUGAGUGGGUGUGCCCAUCUUUGAUACUAACAGCUCAGUACUGUGGAUUGCCCAUGUUUUUUCUAGUCUGAGGAGAGGGGAAAGAGCAAGGAACUGUGUGGCCUUCCUGCUCUCUUGGAAACUCUAUUGGGAGGACUAGCCUCCCAGAGAAGUUGUAGCCCCAGUUAUGCCUCAGGUUCAGCCCCCAUCACUGUACCAACAUUUUACUUUGGUGAUGUGAAAAGUUAAAAGAACAGCCCUUGGCCAUUUAGGUCUCUCCUCCUUUCCAGCCUCAUGUCUGGAUCCCUCUCUGUAACCUCACUAGAGCACUCAAAGUUUUCCAAAUAUGCUGGGGCCUUCCACGCCCCUGUGUUCUUGCUCCUGUUCUUCCCUUUGCCCAAGAUGCCCUCUAACCUUUUCUCUUAGGCAGUUUCUACUCCUCUCUCAAGAUUCCCUUCAUAUCCCAUCUCCCCACCCAUCUGGGCAGAUUUUAGUGCUUGGAUCCCUCUGCUCAUACAUUGAUCAACUGGGUCUCUAACCUUGUUCUCUAUAAAAUAUUCUCCACAUAGCAGCCAGUGUGAUUCUUUUAAAACAUGUCAGAUUAUGCCAUUCCCUUGCCACUUAACAAAGUCUGAAACCAUGGCCUGCAAGGCCUACGUGACAUGGUCCAUGGCUGCCCUUACCACCUCAUUUUCUACCCUCUCCUUCACUUCUCAGCUCCAGCCUCCUUGCAGCACUUUAGAAAUGUCAAGUCAGUUUCCAUCCCGGAGCCUCUGUACUUGCUGCUUCCUCACAUCCUUCAACACUGCUCAUCUGAGAAAAGCCCUUCUUGAAUACCCUAGUUUACAGCUCUGUUUCUUUUUGUGGCAUCCAGUGCUAUCCAUCAUUAUGUUCAUUUAUGUGUUUAUUUUUUGUCUGUCCUACAAAAAUACAAGUUCCAUGAGAAUAAAAAAGUGAAUGCAUAUUUUGGCCAAGUGCCUAUCGCAUAUUGCUACUGGAUUCAUGUCAUACGAAUCACUUCCUUUUUUUUUUUUUUUUUGAGACAGAGUCUUGCUCUGUCGCCCGGGAUGGAGUGCAGGGGCACAAUGUCACCUCACUGCAACCUCCGCCUCCCAAGUUCACGCGAUUCUCGUGCCUCAGCCUCCUGAGUAGCUGGGACUACAGGCAUGUGCCACCAUGCCUUGCUAACUUUUGUAUUUUUAGUAGAGAUGGGGUUUCCCAUGUUGGCCAGGCUGUUUUUGAACUCCUGAAGUAAAGUGAUCCACCUGCCUUGGCCUUUCAAAGUGUUGGGAUUACAGGUGUGAGCGACCGCACCCAGCCUACUUUCUUUUAUUUAGAACUCAGUUUCCCAGCCUCCAUUACAACUGGGUUCAAGAAUAUAACCUAGGCUUUGCCAGUCAGGCUCAUCCAUAUCAAACUUAAAUUCAGGUAUAAGCAACCAGAGGAAAGUGGCUCAUUAUGGAGCUCCUUGCCUUGCUGGUAUGAAUUGCCCUAAUAGCCAGGCGGCUGCCUUAGUUGGCAGCACUAGCAGUGACGUUAGUUUCUCAGUGGUUGCAACAUGGAGUUUCUGAUGUAAUAGUGGUAUUGACAGAGAGCUGCAAUGGUGAUAGUUUUCUUGCUGGGCUAGUUCUGCAGUGGUUUUGUGCAUUAUUCCCAGAGGAAUGGCCCCAGUCCUGAAUCUCUACACCUUCCAACACACCUGAGAACUACCCAAUAUCUUCAAUAUAAUCCUUUUCUGCUAUAUCAGCAAGAGUCAGCAGCUUUUCUUUCGUACAGCUAAGGAUCCUGACUUUGUAUGAUUGUGGGUCUUUUUCCCCACAGUGGGCUACAGUCUCCAUUAGAUGAUUCGCCAACUAUUUAUUGAGUGCUUACUAUAUGAUGGACAAUGUCCUAGCCAGAGCUUACAGUAUAGUGGCAGGGCAGGUACAUACACGAUUAUACUAGAGUGUAAUCAAUGCUAUGAAGUGGUCGUGGGAAAGCACACAUUGGAGGCACAGUCUAUGUGUUCAUCUUUGUAUUUGAGGCUCUAAUGCACUUCCAUCAUAUAGAAGCAUUCAGUUUAUAUUUGUGGAAUGAAUUUUGGGUGGAGACAAAUAGAGCAGCAAAAUGCUGGUGUCCUUCUCCAUCAAUAAUAUUCUCUUUGCAUCCAACCUGUAUUUCCUGUAUGUCUGAGUCUUUAACUUAUGGUCACUUGAGGGCGGACCAGGAGUUGGAACUAUCAUUCAUUCACUUAGUCAGUGUGCAAACAUUUAUUGAACACAUGACAUGUACCAGACAUUAUGCUAGGUGCUGGGAAACAAUAGAGAAUAACACAAGUCUAUCUGCCUCACAAAAUGAUAGACACUAGUGAGUCCUUUACAAGUUAGUUGGUUUCUACCCAUAGAGACGGAAAGUAUUAUAGAAUGGUGGCUACCAAAGGCUGGGGAGAGAAGAAUGGGGAGCUUUGUUUAAUGGGUACAGAGUUUUCAUUUAAUUUUGCAAGACAAAAAGAGUUAUGAAGAUGGAUGGGGGCCGAUGGUUACACACAGUUUGAAUGUACAUAAUACUACUGAGCUGUACAUGUAAAAAUGGCUAAGAUGAUACAUUUUAUGUAUAUAUAACCACAAUUGAAAAAAAGUACACCCCCACCCCCAAAAAUAGAACAAUAAAUUUACACAUGUUGUUAAGGGAAAAAAUGUGAGUUGGUUUCUAAAAAUGAAUGGUAAAAGCUGCUUUUGUUAUGAUUGUAAAAAGAUAGAGAGAUUUCAUGUUUUCUCAGUGAGAUUUACUUAUAUCCCACAGUAAAUUUUGAUUCAUUUUUAAAAAGAAGCAGGUGAUAGAGGAUGGCUCAUCUGGCUUAAUGUGCACAGAUAAUUAUCUUCUAGCUAUGUAUGAAUUAGUCUGUUAAUAAUCAAUAUUUGCAUAAGGAAAGAACCAGAAUCUGCCUGGCUUUGAGACUGAAGUAGUUGCAAAUAAGGCAAGGCACUGGAGAGAUUUAACAAAAGAGAGUAAAUUGGCCUGUGUCCAUUUCUCUGUUUCUGCCAAUUUCCUGUCAACUUCCAUUUUAGCAGAUUGACAACAUGUUAUAAACUGUGAUUAAGUCUUCACAAUGAAAGCUCAUUUGCUGGGUAUCUUCCCCAUUCCUGCACCUCUGCUUCCUUUCCCUUGUAUUCUAGAGCCCCAAUUUUUCUUGCACUUUCUUCUUCCCUCACCUUUAGGUUUUUUCCUUCUUGUCUCCUCCUUUACAGUAGAAACUGCAGACAGAGUGUGAAUCUAUAUAAUUAAUCAAAAAAAAUUUAUUGAGUAUUUUGUGUUCAACACUUACAGGAUUCUUAGAUUCAGAUGAGCAAAAGUGAAAAUAAAACAAGUAAAGGCAAAGAUAAAGCAAACAGGCCAGGCAUGGUGGCUGACGCCUAUAAUCCUAGCACUUUGGGAUUCUGAGUCAAGAGGAUUACUUGAGAGGAUUACAAGAGCCCAGGAGUUUAAGAGCAGCCUGGGCAACAUAGCAAGAUCUCAUCUCUACAAAAAAUAAAAAAUUAGCCGGGCAUGGUGGUGUGUGCCUGUGGUCCCAACUACUCAGGAGGCUGAGGUGGGAGGAUCACUUGAGCCUGGGAGGUCAAGCCUGCAGUGAGCAGUAUUGCGCCACUGUACUCCAGCCUGAGUGAUGAUGAUAUUCUGUCUCCAAAAGCAAGCAAACAAACAAAACAAAAAAAUAAGCAGAGAACAAUGAACUCUGAUGCAAUUGGAUUUUCCUCUUGAAACGAGAUCAGAAAGAGAGAGUUCUGUGUGGACUGAAGUUUGUAAGGGUGACUUCUCAGAAAGGGAGUGGGGGAGCUUUGUCUGAAUCUGAAGGAUUUGGCCAGAUGAGAGGUGGUGAUGUGAGUUUUCAGUGUCAGUUCUAGGCAGGAUUAUGUUGUGCUCUGAGGACAGUAGGAAGAGGAGAGAUGUGAGUUCAGAGGUUUUGUAGGGAGCAUGUAGGGAAGCCUCAUGGGCCUUUCCAGUGUUAAUUAAAUCCCGUUAUUUAUCAGCUCCUACUUUGACUUUUUUUGUGUCUUCUCUGUAGGAGGCUAUAGGAACUCAGCCUAUUUUAUUUCUCUGUUUAAAGCCACUGCUCUCCACCCCGAUCCUUUGGUGUUCUUAUUUCUUCAAGUCUACAUAUGGAGUGAGUUGCAAGUCUCCAGGCCAUUCCUCUUUGCUGCCUCUGAACCUAACCACUUUCCAUAGGGAAAGUUUCAUUGCUAAUAAUGACAGAGAAAUUGACAAAAGAUAAAACUGCUGUUGUGGAGAAGGUUAAAAAAAAGAUGAAAGUUGUUAGUCUUAACCCCUGCUCAAUAUUUUCUGUUGCUCAUCUAAAAAAUUGGAGAAGUAGGGCUUACCAGUCCAUUCAUUCAACAAAAAUUGAGCAGUUGAACACACAAAUACACACACAUAUACACACACAAGAAACAACUAGAAAUAAGUGCUGAGAAAACACACUGAUGUGAUGAACAACUGGGUGGUGACUUCAGAAUAAGCAGUCAGGGAAGUCCUCUGUAGUAGGUAACAGUUAAACUGAGUCCUUAGAAGGAGCCAUGUGAAAACAAGGGGGAAGUACAUUUCAACCAGCAUAGUGUGUUGGGGGAAUAAAAAGAAAGCCAAUGUGCCUGAAGCUCAGUGAAUAAGAACAGAGAGGUACAAGGGAAGAUCUGGGCCUUUUCAGAUGAGGAAUUUAGAUUUUAUUUUAAAUAUGAUGUAUGGAAAGAACAAGAACAACAAAACAAAAUGUGAUGAGAAGCCAUUUGAGAGUUGGCAAGUCAUCUUGUGCUUUAUAUAUUUUUAAAAACAUCACACCAGCUUCUGUGGAGGAACAAGAGUAGAAACAGACCAGUUAUGAGGCUAUUGUUGGGGGCUUGAACUAGGGUAGAAGUGGUGACAAUGGAAGAAGUGAAUGGAUUUAGGAUGUGGAUUGAGAGUAGAGUCAAUUGGAUAUGAUGGCUGAGGGAAAGAGAAAUUAAGCCUCUUAGGUUUGUGGCUUGAGCAACUGGGUGAGUGGUAGCUUCACAUCCCAUAUCCUGGAAUACUAACCCACACUUUUUGAAUUCUGUCCUACUGUCCUUCUGUCAUUUCUGAAUCUCUUAUAGCAACCUUCAUCAGGAACGCAUACAGAGUUAGCCAAAUUGAAUACAAUAUUUCAGUGAUCAUCUGUUGGUAUCUACAUGGGUCAAGAGGGAAGUAAGCGCUAUUGGAUGAUCCCUAAGUUUGCUCUCACCCAGGAAUACUGCAUUUUGAGUAUUACUUGUGUUAGCAGUGGUGAAUCCGUAUGGGUCUGCGGCAGCCUCAACUCUUGCCUCCUCAGAAGAAAGAAUUUGACCGAGGGGCAUAAGACAGAGUGAGAGAAUGAGGCAAAUUUUGGAGCAGGAGUGAAAGUUUAUUCAAAAGCUUUAGAGCAGGAAUGAGAGAAAAUAAAGUACACUUGGAAGACGGCCAAGUGGGCAACUUGAGAGAUCAAGUGUACUGUUUGACCAUUGAUUUGGAGUUUUAUAUGUUGGCAUUCUUUUGGGGUCUGCAUUACUUCUCCCUUUUUUCUUCCCUUGUGGGGGUUGUCUGCCUGUGCGGUGGCCUACUGGCUUUUGAGGGGGGCCGCAUGUGCACUGUGUUUACUGGAGUUGUAUGCACGCUCACUUGUGGCAUUUUUCCCUUACCAGUCUAGUGGUCAUAUACCAGGUAUACUUUGCCUUUUGCCUCCUUUUUUUUUUUUUUUUUUUUUUAAUGCGGAGUCUCGCUCUGUCACCCAGGCUGGAGUGCAGUGGCGCAAUCUUUGCUCACUGCAACCUCCGCCUCCCAGGUUCAAGCAAUUCUCCUGCCUCAGCCUCCUGAGUAGCUGGGACUGCAGGCCCGCCACCAUGCCCAGCUAAUUUUUAUAUUUUUAGUAGAGACUGGUUUUCACCAUGUUGACCAGGAUGGUCUUGAUCUCUUGACCUCAUGAUCUGCCCACCUCGGCCUCCCAAAGUGCUGGGAUUACAGGUGUGAGCCACCACGCCUGGCCUGAAACCUCUUAUUUCUAUGAGAGACAAAAGGAUGUACUGUGUGAUGUCUCAUUACACCCAUCGUUGUACCGAUGAGAAACCUCAGCAAAAUCCCAGAGCCCUGACUCCAGUGUCUCCAGCUGAGAGGCUGAGCUUGCCAGCUCCAUUUCUGACUGCUCAUGGAGCAGAAUCAGUGACCAAGGAGAAAAGGGCUGAGUGAAGAAACAAGUGUGAGUGCCAAGAUGAUGCCAAGGGCUGUGAUUUCCUGGUGGGAAGAAAGAAGGAAUAGAAGCCAAAGGAAGGGGGAUGAAAAGCAAAACCAAGAAUCACAAGGAAUCAAGUUCGGAGAGAAUUUUGGCAGAGAUUUUGAGAGGGGGGCUUUAAGUCAGCCAUGGACAUACUGAAGCAAGAGGAAUGAAGGGAAAAAAGAAAAGGGGGGAAAAAAAGAAGAAGAAUGGGGCCAAGGAGGAUUUAAGACUACCAUUAUAGGUUACAAGUUGAAUUCUUUUUAAUAUUCUUCAAGCAAUGACAGUAAAGAUUCAAAUAACUUUUAAAUUACCUUUGAUUUCUAAACCAAGUUUCUUGGAAUGUGAAAGUCGCCAAGACUGGGCCCUGCAGGGCCUGGGUUGGGCUACUACUGCCUAUGGAGAUUCUGAGGGUAUUAACCUUAAUAAUGGCAUGAAAUCAAUAAAAAUCAUCCAAAAGCU